rnacentral:lncRNA from 1 species
UUUUGAAAUCAACUGUUGUUUUUGAAAACGCGCCCUAAAGCUAUCCAAUUUCAACAGUUAAAAUAAGUAUUACCUAUCUUAGUAAUACAUAUUAAAAACCAUAAAAAAUAAAUAAGCGGCCUUAUUACAUUUAAAAACCCAAAAACUUCAAACGUAAAUAAAAGGAUGUCCAGUUCACCAGAAGAAAAUCAAACUUUCAGAACAGGUGGCCACUCCGAAUUCCCUCACAGCUCCAAGCCCACUAUGGUUGGGGAUUACCUGCGUGGAUGAAAAUAAAAGGGGUGAGUUUGGGGAAACUCAGUGUGUAAAUUAACCCAACCAUAGCCUAUAUCAGCUUAAACCACAGAAAUAGAAUAAGUUGGCCUUAGCCCAGAACAGAAUUCAAAAUAAAGCCCAUCGGCCCAUAACAGAACAGAACAGAUAUUACAUGUUUAUGCAGAAACCCAACCGUAUACACCCUCGUACCAACCUUACACCGUGUGGGGAGACAACUCGACCCACCUAACCGCUACACACCACAGAAUUUGCAGCAUGGCUGCCAGAACAGAUAAUGUGACAGAGUCACCAGAUACAGAUAAUCGUGGUAGAGCCACCAGAACAGAUAUAUGUGGCAGAGCCACCAGAUCAGAUAUUUGUGGCAUAGCCACCAGAACGCUUCCUCCAUAAUAUAACCCAUGUCCCCAUGCAACAGAUAUAUAAUCAUGGCAUACAUCAUACAGAAUCAGAUCGUCAUGCUUUUCAGUCAAAAUUAACCCUAGGGGUAUAACGGUAAUUUUGCACCUAGGGGUAUAACAGUAAUUUUCCAUACAUAGGGGUAUUAUAGUAAUUUAGCUACUUUUAGGGUUUUCAUGCAUAUCCUAACUAUUUACGUACUAUCAGAAAACUUACCGCACAUACUUACUGAAUUGGGCCCGUUGGCCCAUGAAUCCGAUCUUUGGCCCAUUAAGCCCAAAUUAUCAAAAUGUACGAAAUCGCGCGUACUGCAGUUUAUUACUUUAGAUUACCAAAUAUACAAACCCAACUAUCUUACGAGCAUUCGCACACUCGCAAAUUCUCAAAAUACCGACUUUUCGGCAUUUCGGCUUUUUGGCUUUUGCCAAUCUAGUCCAUGAGAGGGUGUCAGUUACACACCUGUUUGCGACGAUAUGCUGACGAGAUCCACACACGAACCGCCUACAAUUGGAUUACUAACACGUUAAUCUAACUAUUCAAAUACGAACUACGUAUUAACCCCUUACAAUAUUCGGCCAACCACACCUACAGAUCACAGUAAGCUUAUAAGAAAUCAAUAAGCAACUCAUUAACAAAUUUUUGUAAUUGUUUACCACAUAAUCAUAAUUUCACUGCAAGCUGUCUUCCUAAGCAACAGUCACUAAAUUAUUUAUAACUGGAGCUACGAAACUCCAAAUCAAGUGCCAUUAAUUUUCCCUAAAAAUAGACUCAUAUAUCUUUUAUCCAUAAAAUUUUCAGAAUUUUUGGUAUGACCAAUCAAUACCAGAUUUUUCUUAAAGUUUCCCAUGUUUCACUGUUUGACUAAUCUGACCACUCUUCAUUACGAAUCAAAUUUCACAUUUUACAGAAUUCAAAAUAUGUUCUUGUUUAUUUCAUUAGAAACUAGACUCAAUAAGCUUUAAUUACAUAAUUUAUUCAGCUUCUAAUUCAUCUCCCACAAUUUAUGGUGAUUUUCCAAAGUCACGUUACUGCUGCUGUCCCAAGCAGAUUUAUUACCAAAUCACUCUUUCACACAUACCUUGCAUGCUUGUUAUUUAAACAUGUAUAUCACCAAUCAAUCAUCACAUAUCUAUGAUUUUAUUUAAGUAUAAUCUCCAUUUCAUCAUUUAAAAGUACAACAUGUUAGCUAAUUUUUCCCUUUAACAUCUAAGGCACAUGCAUGCUUAUUUGUUUGGCUCAACUUCACCUAUCUUCCAUUUUUCAUCAAAAGAACAUGAAACAACAACCAUUUCCUUCAUUUUAAUUCAUGACUAAAUGCUCACAACACAACUAAAAAUCAAAAUAUACUUCAAGAGUUAAGGUAAAAUCAAGAAGAACUCAUGAACAUCAAGAUAGAAGCAAACUACCAUGAACUUACCUUCAAUUUUCUUCCCCAAGUGACCGAACAUUCAAGAGCUUUCUCCUCUCCUUUCUCUUCUCUAACUUUCAGCUAUGAUGAACAAAGAUGGACAAAACUUUGUUCUUUUCACCCCUUUUUCUUUUAAUAAAACUUCAUAUUUCAUCCAUUU